rnacentral:rRNA from 1 species
CAGUCGCCGCGGUAAUACGUAGGUGGCAAGCGUUGUCCGGAAUUAUUGGGCGUAAAGGGCUCGCAGGCGGUUUCUUAAGUCUGAUGUGAAAGCCCCCGGCUCAACCGGGGAGGGUCAUUGGAAACUGGGAAACUUGAGUGCAGAAGAGGAGAGUGGAAUUCCACGUGUAGCGGUGAAACGCGUAGAGAUGUGGAGGAACACCAGUGGCGAAGGCGACUCUCUGGUCUGUAACUGACGCUGAGGAGCGAAAGCGUGGGGAGCGAACAGGAUUAGAUACCCGCGUAGUCCCUGUCUCUUAUAC